rnacentral:rRNA from 1 species
GACGAACGCUGGCGGCGUGCCUAAUACAUGCAAGUCGAGCGGACUAAUGGGAGCUUGCUCCCGUUAGUUAGCGGCGGACGGGUGAGUAACACGUGGGCAACCUACCUGUAAGACUGGAAUAACUUCGGGAAACCGGAGCUAAUACCGGAUGACAUAAAGGAACUCCUGUUCCUUUAUUGAAAGAUGGCCUCGGCUAUCACUUACAGAUGGGCCCGGGGCGCAUUAGCUAGUUGGUGAGGUAACGGCUCACCAAGGCGACGAUGCGUGGCCGACCUGGGAGGGUGAUCGGCCACACUGGGACUGAGACACGGCCCAGACUCCUACGGGAGGCAGCAGUAGGGAAUCUUCCGCAAUGGACGAAAGUCUGACGGAGCAACGCCGCGUGAGCGAUGAAGGCCUUCGGGUCGUAAAGCUCUGUUGUUAGGGAAGAAUAAGUGCUAGUUGAAUAAGCUGGCACCUUGACGGUACCUAACCAGAAAGCCACGGCUAACUACGUGCCAGCAGCCGCGGUAACAC